rnacentral:miRNA from 1 species
AGGUGGUCAGCAUGUCAAACU